AUACUCUGGUUUCUGUUUAAUCCACGAAUAAUUCUUUCGUUUUUUAGUAAAGAUAUCCGUGCAGAGGAAUUUAAAUGAGUCGAUAUAGUUAUUUUUAAAAGCCUACACCAGUAUGGUU